UGAUAGGGCACUGGUUGCUUAUUGACGUAGCAAGAUAUGAUGUCAUUCCAAACUUUAGCAUCAGUGAGACCCCUACGCGAAGGGAGCUUGGUCGAUUGUUCAACAGGCGGAACAGUCACUUCAAGUCCAUAGCGUCAUUGAACAUCCAGUAUGACAAACUCUCUGGCCAAAACGAUGAGAUCCCAGUGACUCCAGUGUACCCUCUUGAUGAAGAGUUUCACACGUUUCACACUGUUACCAUCCGGGGCAGAGGUGUGACACUUGUGGUUCUAGUACGGGAUUCAGAUAACUACGUCCUUGCAGUCAAAGUGUAUUUAACUGAAGAAGAGUCCCGUGUUGCUCCUUGGUUUCUCUUUAAAGGUGUGAAACUUCCAAGCAGGUUCAAGAAUGUUGUGCCAACACACUAUAGUUUUGGUCAUGACUACAAGGGUGAGAUUAAAUUUGGUAAAAAUGUCUUACCUAAACUGAUGGAUUUUAUGGUCCAGCUCCGACUUGAUCCAGGACAGACAGCCACUGACAAAAACAGUCUCUUGCUGGGCGCUUUGUUCGUGUUGCUAGGUGAAGCUCAGCGGUUCAGGCGGGUUAGGAAUUGGACCAUGCGGACCCUGAGAUGCAUUGAACCUAAACCCGUUCCAAAGUGCCUUAGUUUGUUAUUCCAAUCUUGGUCGGAUAUAUCAAAAACCAUUUUUCACUUUGUGUUGGGAUUGGAAAGCAUGCGUCUGAUUGCACCACAGAUGAAAUCCUUGGAUCUAGAAGAGAACUACUUCAUGAUGAAAGCUCUAGAAGAAUGGGAAAACAGCAGAAGAGUACACAAUGAUAUGAAACAGUGUGGAUUAAAGUACAGAAACAGUGAAGGAGAGAUCUCGCUUGGUUGUCUCCUUGGUGGUGAAUUGCUGUUAUUGCGGCAUGAUCCGGUAUUGUGCACCAAAAUUUUGAUGAGAAGACAAGACUUUGCGGGCGAUGUUAAUCUCCGUAAGAUUGUUGUU